rnacentral:rRNA from 1 species
GACAGAGGGUGCAAACGUUGCUCGGAAUCACUGGACGUAAAGGGCGUGUAGGCGGGAAGGCAAGUCAGAUGUGAAAGCCCCAGGCUCAACCUGGGAACUGCAUUUGAAACUGCCUUUCUUGAGUAUCGGAGAGGAAAGUGGAAUACCUGGUGUAGAGGUGAAAUUCGUAGAUAUCAGGUGGAACACCAGUGGCGAAGGCGGCUUUCUGGACGAUAACUGACGCUGAGACGCGAAAGCGUGGGGAGCAAACAGG